rnacentral:rRNA from 1 species
UGUUAGCGGCGGACGGCUAAGUAAUGCACGGGAACGUACCCUCGGGUAUCGGAUAGCUCAUUGAAAGAUGGGGUAAUACGAUAUAGUCUCGCAAGAGUAAAGCCGCAAGGCGCCGGAGGAACGGCCUGUGUCCUAUCAGGUUGUUGGUGGGGUAAUGGCCUACCAAGCCUAUGACGGGUAACUGGUCUGAGAGGAUGGUCAGUCAGAUCGGGACUGAGACACGGCCCGA